UGCAUAUCAAUAAGCGGAGGAAAAGAAACCAACAGGGAUUGCCCCAGUAACGGCGAGUGAAGCGGCAACAGCUCAAAUUUGAAAUCUGGUCCCUAGGGCCCGAGUUGUAAUUUGUAGAGGAUGCUUUUGGUGAGGUGCCGCCCGAGUUCCCUGGAACGGGACGCCACAGAGGGUGAGAGCCCCGUCUGGCUGGCCGCCGAGCCUCUGUAAAGCUCCUUCGACGAGUCGAGUAGUUUGGGAAUGCUGCUCAAAAUGGGAGGUAUAUGUCUUCUAAAGCUAAAUAUUGGCCAGAGACCGAUAGCGCACAAGUAGAGUGAUCGAAAGAUGAAAAGCACCUUGAAAAGAGGGUUAAAUAGUACGUGAAAUUGUUGAAAGGGAAGCGCUUGUGACCAGACUUGGGCGCGGCGGAUCAUCCGGGGUUCUCUCCGGUGCACUUCGCCGCGUCUGGGCCAGCAUCAGUUCGUCGCGGGGGAAAAAGGCUUCGGGAACGUGGCUCCUCCGGGAGUGUUAUAGCCCGUUGCAUAAUACCCUGCGGUGGACUGAGGACCGCGCAUCUGCAAGGAUGCUGGCGUAAUGGUCACCAGCGACCCGUCUUGAAACACGGACCA
rnacentral:rRNA from 1 species